GAGACGUAGCUAACGUUACAGAUGGAUGCUGUUCUGACGCGGGUGCCUGGGUCAGAUAUGGUCUGUUUCCCUACCACCGGGACCUGGAGUAAAGUGCUGGCCGGGUUCGGUUUGCUGUAAUGAUGGUGGCUGGCUGCUAGCUGGCUAGGGGCUAACAGUAACCACAUGUCCCGUGGCUGCUGUAAGCUGUCAUCCCGACUGAAGUCUUUCUGCACCGGGGGAGUGAGGCAGACGGACCGGGGUGUGCUAUCUGGCUAAAUUAGCAUUACAUUAGGCGUCUAUCUAGACAGCUAACGUUACUGGUGAACUUAUUUGUGGGUUAGCCCAGUGCUG